rnacentral:ribozyme from 1 species
UAUUUAUUUUUCUUAUCCUCUCGUUGUCCGGAUGUUUUUCUUCCCAAACGAAAACGAGGAGGAGGGGAGGAAAUGGCGGAAAUAAAAUAUAAA